rnacentral:rRNA from 1 species
CGGUAAUUCCAGCUCCAAUAGCGUAUACUAAAGUUGUUGCAGUUAAAAAGCUCGUAGUUGGAUUUCUGCGGGGACGGAGCGGCCGGACGCAACUUGCGUCUCGAGCUAGCGCUUUCCCCGCAUCCUGCCGCGAACCGUGCUACCAUUAGUUUGGUGGCGCUGGGGAUCGGCUCGAUUACUUUGAGAAAAAUAGAGUGUUCAAAGCAGGCCACACGCCUUGAAUAAGUUAGCAUAGAAUAAUGACUAAGGACUUCGGUUCUAUUUUGUUGGUGUUCGGGACUGAAGUAAUGAUUGAUAGGGACAGUUGGGGCGGUCUGUAUUCCAAAGCGAGAGGUGAAAUUCUUAGACCUUCGGAAGACAAACAGCUGCGAAAGCGUUCCGCAAGGAUGUUCCCUUUGAUCAAGAACGAAAGUUGGGGGAUCGAAGACGACCAGAUACCGUCGUAGUCUCAACUAUAAACUAUACCAGCUAGGGAUCGGUCAACGUUUAAUUAUUCGACUUGAUCGGCACCUUAUGAGAAAUCAAAGCAUCUGGGUUCCGGGGGGAGUAUGGUCGCAAGGCUGAAACUUAAAGGAAUUGACGGAAGGGCAUCACCAGCCGUGGAGCCUGUGGCUUAAUUUGACUCAACACGGGAAAACUUACCAGGUCCAGACAUAGUAAGGAUUGACAGAUUGAUAGCUCUUUCUUGAUUCUGUGGGUGGUGGUGCAUGGCCGUUCUUAGUUGGUGGAGUGAUUUGUCUGGUUAAUUCCGUUAACGAACGAGACCCCAGCCUGCUAAAUAGCGCGGCCGAGCUUUGCUCGGUGCGAGCUUCUUAGAGGGACCAUGAUGCGCGAUAGCACAAGGAAGUUUGGGGCAACAACAGGUCUGUGAUGCCCUUAGAUGUUCUGGGCCGCACACGGGCUACACUGGCGCCUGCGACGAGCAUAUCAGCUGGCCCGAGAGGGUCUUGGCUAAUCUUUGGAACCGGCGCCGUGCUUGGGAUUGACCAUUGCAAUUGUUGGUCAUGCAACGAGGAAUGCCUUGUAAACGCGAGUCAUCAGCUCGCAUUGAAUACGUCCCUGCCCUUUGUACACACCGCCCGUCGCUCCUACCGAUGAAUGUUCCGAUGAAAUUUUCGGAGAGCACCAGAGAACGGGGCUCCGCCUUGCAGAACUGGAGGCUCAAAGUCACUUAAAUCUGAACAUUUCGAGGAAGGAGAAGUCGUAACAAGGUAACC